CACGUAGGCGGACCAGUUAGUUGGGGGUGAAAUCCCGGGGCUCAACCCCGGAACUGCCUCCAAAACUGCUGGUCUGGAGGUCGAGAGAGGUGAGUGGAAUUCCGAGUGUAGAGGUGAAAUUCGUAGAUAUUCGGAGGAACACCAGUGGCGAAGGCGGCUCACUGGCUCGAUACUGACGCUGAGGUGCGAAAGCGUGGGGAAGCAAACA
rnacentral:rRNA from 1 species